rnacentral:lncRNA from 1 species
AUUGCCUAUCUUAUUGUCUUUAAAUAUUUCUUUACUUUGAUGAUACUGCAAUAGAACAUUAAGUCAAUCAUAAGUCUAAUAAGAGAAGAAAAUAAGAAGUAGAGGUUUGAGUUGAGAAAGAGGAUGGAGAUUUUAAAGGAGUUAUGUUUUGAGAUAGAAGAUUAAAUCUAAUCCUUCGCAAGCAAGAACAUCAGAGAAAGAGAUCGCUUAUUAGAUGAAUAGGGGAAAGAAAGUAUAAAUCCUAAUACCUAACUA